rnacentral:lncRNA from 1 species
GGCAGACACCCAUGGCUUUCUCAUUCACCCCAUCUGGGCCUCCAGUGUGGUCUAAUUAUCCUGAAAAGCCAAAAUGCGUUAGAGCUGAGCUUGAUUACUCUAAUGGCACACAAUGUUUUCACCAACCUCCGGAUUCCUGAAUAAUUAUCAUUAUCAUAUUUAUGUGUUUAGCCAAAAGCUUAAUUGGAAGAUUCCAGAAUGAAACAAUGCUACACAAGGAAAAGAACCUUCCAGUCAUUUUCUUGGGGAAAAAAAUUUAAAUCAAAAUACCACAAGUAUAUCACAAAAUUAAACCAUCGAAUCAAGUGGAAGGGCUCAUUCCCAGACUACCCCUCUGCUGCGGUGGUCUUCCAGAGGCAAGUAUGUUUAACUCUUUCAGCUGUUUCUGCUGGUGGUUAUCAUUGUCUCUAAAAAUAUGUUUAUAUCAUCAGUUCUUGAUGCAUCUGUUUUAGACAUUGUCUAUUAAUUACAACUCAGAUAAAUGAAGAUUUAUCUCACGGGACAAGUAUGUAGAGAUAUUGGGGAGUUCUUUUCCAUUUCAUAGCUACCUUUAUUUGCUCCUUGCAGAGGUCUAGGCUGUAUGCAUAAUAAGGUAGGCCUUCCAUAUAUGGGUGGGGCCUGGCUUUACUAUGCAUGUGCUGACAGUUACGUACAUAACAUGAAGAUUCCCUCUGCCUCCUGGUCUUGUUUUGUUGGUUGACCUUAGUAGGAGACUUUAAUGGUGGAGACUUUUUCAAAGUCUGGUGACUAGUGGGAGCACAUAUGAGAAUAAUAUUUUUACCGCUUUUGAUGGGUGGCAAGUCCUUGCUUCCCCAAUGUUGUAGAAUAACACCAGAGAAGCACACCGAGGCAAGGUCAGAGUGGAAAAUUAUAAGUUUAUUAAAGGAUAGUAGAAAAGACUUCUCCCGGAGGAAGAAGGGGACCCAAGAGAUGGAAUCUGUUGAAGGGCGAAUGUGUUCCCCUUUUUAUAGUUUUUGGUGAUGGAAUGUAGGUGGGGAAAGCCCGAGGGGUGGGACACAGGUGGGCCAAAGAAGUAAUCUGGGCAGGAAGGACUUCUGAGGCAGCAUCUUCAAGUUUGCUUGAAUGUUCAUUAACGUUUCUUUGGGAUGGGCUAUCUUCAAAUCUGCUGGGACUGUUCAUUAACACUUCUUUGGGAUGGGCUAUCUUUAAAUCUGCUGGGGGCUGUUUCCUGGACUUCAUUAACAUUUCAAGAGUUGCUCAACUUUUCCAGGGAUUCAUUCUCACAGCCUCCAUUUUAGAUCUCACUUGAUAUUAGACCUGAUUUACCUAACUACACUGACUACCUAAUUUUAAAUCUGGCUUCAAUAUCAUAAACAAUUUGUUUAUAUUUAUGGUACUUCAGUUAGGACAUCACUUAGGAUGAUCAGGUGGGAAGUCACUGUAGACAUUUAACCAGUGAGUCUUUAAAUGACAGACUGUAGAGGUUUGUGGGUAUUCAGUUUUUUUUAGCUCGUAUCACAAAAUUUUUAUUUGCAGUUUCAAUUUUUUUUUAAGAGAAGAACCCCUACAAUUUUAAGGUGUGUAUGUCAGGCACCCAUGGCCACUAUAUGAGAAUGAUAGUGAGGAAAGUAGGAAGAUUCAGCUCCAUGUCUUAUUCCUGCCUUUUUUGUUUUGCUUUGUUUUUUUGGUACUAGGGAUUGAACCCAGGGGUGCUUAACCACUGAGCCACAUCCCCAGCCCUUUUUAUAUAUUCUUUAGAGACAGCAUCUUACCAAGUUGCUUAGGGCCUCGUUAAAUUGCUGAGGCUGGCUUUGAACUCACAAUCCUACUGCCUCAGCCUCCUGGGCAGCUGGGAUUACAGGCAUGCACCACCGUACUGUAAGGGUCCGGCGAACGUUGGAGGAAGAGACCACCAAGAGACCGACUCAUGCAACCGCAAAAGGGGGUUUAUUGAAGAAUCCAGCGCGCUGGGGCUCCGUGCUCACUCAACAAGGGAGAGUGGCCCAGAGCCCCGAGCAGGGGUUGAGCAGUGCUUAAGUACACUUUUUGGGGAGGGCGGGGACUUUAUAUACAUCACAGUCUCCUUUAACAAAUCACCAUACAAAUCAAACAACAAUUCUCAAACAUGAUUAGUACAUUCAUUGGCGGGAACAGGUCGGGCGGGAAGUGGGGGUACAUUCAAACUGAUUGGUUUGGGCCCUGAAUGCCUACAUGCCAAACUGCACAGGGUCCAGGUUAUUUAUCUACUGGACAGUCCCGGGAAUUGUUUUAACAACUACAGGAAUUUCAGGUUUUGGGUGUAGCAUAGGAACUUAACAAUACCUGGUCCUUUACAUUUUAACUCAGGCUUUGCAGCUUAGAAACUUUACAAUACCCAUUUUUUUUACACUUUAACUUCAAUUUCUUUUACUCUUACAGUACUUACUCCCGCCUUUGCUCUACUGGGAAUUUAUAAGAUAUGUAAUGUGGAGAUACAAGGGAUGGAGGGUUUCCUUCCUCCUUGGCUACAGUUCCCUUUUCCAUCUCCCCACCGAGUAAUUCCAGUUCUUGUCCUCCUGUGUCUAGAGUUAUCAGUUACUGCUACCUCUGUUACUGUGUGUGUAUGAAAGAAAUAUAUACAACAUAAAAUUUAUCAUCUUAACCCUUUUUCUUUAUUUUUGAAUUUUUUAUUUUGGUAGAUGGACACAAUACCUUUAUUUUAUUUAUUUUUAUGUGGUGCUGAGGACCGAAGCCAGUGCCUCACAUGUGCUAGGCAAGCGCUCUGCCACCAAGCCACAGCCCAGGCCCAUUUUAACCCUUUUUCAUUGUACAGUUCAGUGGCGUUAGAUACAUUUUCAUUAUGGUGCAGCCAUUGCUCAUCACCAUCUCCAGAACUUUCUUGUCUUACCCAAAUGAACUCUACCUACUAAACACUGACUUCCCAUUCUCCUUUCUCCCUGCAGCCCCUGGCGACCACCAUUCUACUCUCCAUGGGUUGGGCUCAUUUAGGAACAUCUUAUAAGUUGAAUCAUGCAAUAUUUGUCCCUUUGAAGCCAGAUUUAAAGUUAGGUAGUCAGUGUAGUUAGGUAAAUCGGGUCUAAUAUCGAGUAAGAUCUAAAAUGGAGGCCAUGCUGACAAUGAUUCCGGGAAAUGCAGGACAACUCAUGGAAUGUUAAUGAAGUCCCAGAAAGGCCCUAGGCCAAAGUCCACCCCAAAGAAAUGUUAAUAGAACCCAGGAAACAGCCCCCAACAGAUUUGGAGAUAGCCCAUCCCAAGAAGUGAUAAUGAAGUCCUUCCUGCCCAGAUUACUUGUUUGGCCCACCUGUGUCCCACCCCUCGGGUCUUCCAACCUACAUUCCAUCACCAAAACUAUAAAAGGGGGAGUCAACCGCAAUUCCACGGAUUCCACCUCUUGGGUCCCCUUCUUCCUCUGGGAGAAGUCUUUUCUGCUGUCUUUUAAUAAACUUCUAAUUUCUACUCUGACCUUGCCUCGACGUGCUUCUUUGGUGUUAUUCUUCAACAUUGGGGAAGCAAGGACUCGUCACCGGUCAACAGCAGUAACACCUUUGUGUCCACCCUCUACUUUAUAGCAUCAACACAUUUGUUGAAAUUUCUUAUCUUUUGAUGAUUUUCCAUCUCUUGUAGCUUUUCAUCUUUUACCUCCUUUACUAUUACAUUAGUAGGUUAUUGGGAGUAGAGAUCCAACUAUAGGGUGAAACUGCUAACUUUAAUCAGGAGUUCAUUCUUUUUGAGAAGAGAAGAUCCCAACAAAGGGACAAACAUUGUUUCUUUUCAUUUAAAUGAGGUCAAACGCACAGAGACAGAUGUGCAGUGGCUGCUAGGGAGUGGCUUAGAGUGGGUUGGAGUUUCAGUUUGGGAUGAUGAAUCUGGAGAUGGAUGGUGAUGAUGGGACAUGAAGUUCUAAUUCUGUGACUUCUCAGCCAGGUAUGAUGGUAUACUCCUGAAUGUAUAUUCUUGUGACAGGGAAAUCUGAUGCAGGAGAUUCACGAGCUCUAGGUCAGCCUGGGCAACUUAGGGAGACCCUGCCUCAAAAUAAAAAUUAAAAAGGAUUGGGGGUAUAGCACCCCUGGGUUUAAUUGCCAGUACCAAAAAGAAAAAAGAAGAAAUUAAUAAUAAUCCGGUGACUUGGCUUGCAAGAUGCAGGCCUCUAACCCCAUGCAGAGGAAUGUAGAAGGCCAACUCAUCUAUGAGGAAAUUUCAGUGGCAAGAGCACAUUAGGCCUGGAAAGGAUUCAUAUGGCUUACUCCUAUAUCUGUGGGCUUUAUAAAUUCUUCAAGGAACUAGGUCUGAGAUUAGGAUGAGACAAAGUAAGCACCUAGGGCACAACAUUUAAGGAGGUACUCACUUUUUUUCUUUUCUUUUUCGACAUGGGAUCAAACCCAGGGCUUCUCACAUGUGAGGCAAGCGCUUUACCACUGAGCUGUAUCCCAGCCUGGGAGGUGUGCACUCUUAAGGUACAAAUCCCACAGAGAGAGAGGACUACUCCAACACACUGCCACCUCUGCAGGGAAGUCCAGAUGAGAUUUGUGUAUUAGUUAGGGUUCUCCAGGGAAUCAGAACCCAUAGGAUAUAUAUAGAUUAUAAGAAGAGAUUUCUUACAGAAAUUGGCUCAUGUGAUUAUGGAGGCCGAGAAGUCCCACCAUCUGCUGUCUGCAAGCUGGAGAUCCCGUGAAGCCUGGAUGGUAAUUUAGCCCGAGGCUGAAAUCUUGAGAACCGGGAAGUACACAAAUGGAUGGUGGGUGAGGCAUAGCCUGAGAACCUGGAGCUCUGCUGUCUUAGGGUAGGAAAGAUGGACGUCCUACUCUCAGGGACAGGGGGGAGAGAGAGAGGUGGGAAUCCGCCCUUCCUUGUUGUGUUAGCUUUCCUGGUACCUGAGAUAGUAGACUUAGAAAAGGUUUAUUUUCAAAGUUUUAAAGGUUUCAGUCCAUGAACAAUUGGCUCCAUUGCUUAGGGUCUGUGUGACCCAAAACCAAUCACUUCAUGUCAGGAAGCAAAAAAGAGAAAGAGGAAGGGGCCAGGGACACAUAGUCCCCUUCAAGGACAUGACCUAAAGGUCUCCCAGGAGGCCCACCUACUAAAGGCUCCACCACCUCCUAAUAAUGCCUCCCUGGGGAACAAGCUUUCUUUUUCUUUUUACCACUUAGACCUUGGGAGAUGCUAAGGUCCCAACUAGAGCUGUUGCCUCUUUUUUCUACUCUGGGCUUCUGUGGUUAGAUAAUGCUUGCUUAUACUGGUGAAGGUGCUAGUUUUAACUUAGUCUACUGAUUCAAAUGCUAAUCUCUUCCAGAAAUCUCUCACAGACACAUCCAGAAAUAAUGCUUUAUCAGCCUCCUGGGCACCCCCGAUCUCAGUCAAGUCCAUUGAGUUCACUAUCCCAAUCUGUCAAAGGAAAGCCGAGUCAUGACAGCGUUAGGAUCCUGAUCUAAAGAUGACUUUGCAUGUUGUGAGAUAGUAACUAGCACAUGAAUGUCACUGUCAGCAAACUUCUCUUAUAAGCAUUUUGCCAUUUCACACCACCUAUGUUUAGAGUUGAGAAUCAGUUUCACAUGUUAUUCCCUUUUUGGUGGAGAAACUAAGGACAGGGAAGGUGAUAGUCUUGACCUGAGGUAGUCAGUGAUUGAGCCAAGACCUGUACCCAAGUUUUUAAGUUCAAACUGCACUACUCCCCACCUGGACUGGGGAUCAUAUCCAGGACUUUGUGCAUGCUAGGCACAUGCUCUAUUAUUGAGCUACAUCCCCAGCUCCCAAUUUCACUUCUUUUUAUGAAAGCAGCCAUUUAGAAGAGAAACUAUUGUACUCAGUAACUGACUCAGUUCUACCUCCUUUUGCACAAAAUUUCUGUUUUGCCCAGUCUUAUAUCUUGACAAUUUUUUUUUGUGGUCCUGGGAAUUAAACCAGGGGUGCUUUGUCACUGAGCUACACAUCUUGCCCUCUUUUUAAAUUUUAUUUUGAGCCAGGUUCAGGGCCCCAUGCCUGUAAUCCUCUCCCCCUCCCUCUCCCCCUUCCUCUCCCCCUCUUCUCUUCUGCGACUGACCACUACGGUCCUGCUAAUAAAAUCUCGGACAGGUAAAUGGUUGUUUUGGCUUGUUGAGUUUACGGAGCUUUUCCAUUGUCCUUUACAAUAGUAAUUAUGAGAGUUGUAUAGCUAUAAUUCUUAAAAUUAUAAGAUUCCUUAUCAUAAGUAUUGUAUUACUGGCAGUGAUAUUAAAUAAUAAUAAUUACUUUAAAAAUAUGAUCAGUUAGAGAUACAUUGCUGGGAGCCAUUAGCCAAGUAGGUAUGACAAUUUCCUUGCCAGCAGCGUACCCCAUGUUGCUGACAUGUUGCAGUGACAUUGAAUGUAAGUGACCUUGCUCAAGGAUCAAGGCAGAUUAGGGUGUUCCCGGUUUUAAGAUAAUCUUGUUUAGGGCGUUCCCAGUUUAGGUUCCAGGUUUAAGGUUUAAGAUUAUUCCUGCUGGGAAUAGGGCGUAUCCUGCUGCCUGAGUUCCCCUUGAGUUCUCACGGGAUUCAGACAGUAUAUUUUGGAGAUAGAAGCCCAGUGGAGGUGAAUUUGGGAGAGAAGGAGGAUUUGGGAAGAGAACGUGGAUUUCCCCAGAACGUGAUUGUAGACGGCUGGUGUGAGUUCGGGAAUAAAGAGUUGCUGUUUGAACCUACAAGCUGUGUGGUGGCUCGUGAUUGUGUGCCCAGCCAGACUGCGGCAUUUGUGCCCAGCCAGACUGCGGCAAUACAUCAUGGGAUAGCAUUUAAAAUUUUUUUUUUUUUAGUUGUAGAAGGACACAAUAUCUUUAUUUAUUUAUUUUUAUGUGGUGCUGAGGAUUGAACCAGUGCCUCAUGCAUGCAAAGCAAGUGCUCUACCACUGAGCUACAACCCCAACCCUAUGGGAUAGCAUUUUUAAAAAGUAGCUUAUCUUUCUGGGUGCAUUCACUGCUUACAAAGUCUGGUUAUUACUACAUUGAUAUUAUAAGUUAACUUGAAUCUGAAUUUGUACUUAUGUUGGCAGGAUGACAACUCCCUACAAUAUCCUGUAGUUUUAGAGUAUUCUGGGUAAGGAGAACAUAUAUUAAGGCCCUGUGCUGUUCAGAUGGCAGAGGCCGUGCCAGUCUGUGGUGGUGGGGUGAUAAUGGUGGUAGGUGUGUUAAAUGAGAAAGAGAGACAGAGAAAGAGAGGGGUGGGGGGGUGGGAGAGGGAGAUAAAACACCUCUAAAGGCCUUAAUUUUGCCCUCGGGGAAUUUGCUGUUCAAAUAUCAACAGUUUAAAGAAAUAAAUAAAGAAAAUAUAUUGUAUAGAGGCCACUUUGAGGUUGUCACUGAGCACUAAGUCUGGGGCCUGGGGACACUAAGAGUGGCUGCAGGCAAAGGGAGGCUGGGAGGCAUUGACACAGAUUGCUUCUAUGCUCCCAGGGGCAAUGCAGAGAUAGGAGCCUGCUUGUAAAUUCUCUUCCAGGUGAGCACCUGUAGCUUGCCUGAGGCUGUUCUGGGAAGUGUUUGUGCUUUGACACAGGCUGCCCCCUGCAUUAGGAAGCGGGGCAAAGUCCAAAUGAAGAACAUAGAUCAUAUGUCUAAAUGUUUGAAAAUUCUAAUUCAAGAAAUAAUUUGUUAACUAAAACAUAUUAUAUCCUUUUACUUUCUUCUUCUUCUUUUUUUUUAUACCAGAAAUCGAACCCAGGGGUUUGAGCAACGCCUGAGCAAUAUCCCUAAUCCUUUAACCCUUUUUAUUUUUUCUUUUGAGACAGGGUCUCACCAAUUUGCUUAGGGCCUUGCUAAGUUGACGAGACUGGCUUUGAACUUGCGGAUUCUCCUGCCUCAGCCUCCUGAAUCUCUGGGAUUAUGGAUGUGCGCCACCACGUCCAGCUAUAUCCUUUUUCUUUGAAUAAACUAUACCUCCAAAGUGUCCUUGAUAGCCAAGUUAAAAUAUAGAAAUCUCAGAUACUUUGUAUCUCAGAUACAGCAAAACAUGGUGAAGUUGGGGUGCAGGGUAGAGGAGAUGGGCAGGAGGGAGCCAGUCCCAAUCUAUGGCCUGAUCUACCUUGUCUUCCCACCCCCAGCUCUUUCUCACACUGCCUGAACCUCAUCUGCAUACUCACAGACACCUCAGUUUGUGUGUCUAUAUCUGGCCUCAAAGCAGCCACCUCUUUGUUGUAUUCAAGCCUAAUGAAAAUAUGGCAUGUGUCAGGAUAAAGGACAUGGGAAAGAGGCCCACACAGGUCUUCAUACUCUGGAGAUGGGUUUGAGACUAUUUGGGCAUGGAAUUGUUUGUUUCUUUUUUUCUUGAUAGCGGGGACACAGAUUAGAAUAGCAGUCAGAAAACCAUGCUCAUGGGCCAAAUCUGGGCUCUCCACCUGCUUCUGUAAAUAAAAUUUUAUUGUAAUGUAACUGUCUUAGUCCAUUUUCUGUUGCUAUAAUUGAAUAUCACAGACUGGGUAAUUUAUAAAGAAUAGAGGUUUAUGUAGCUAUAGUUCUGGAGGCUGGAAAGUUUAAGAGCAUGACUUGGCAUCUGACUCACAUCUGGUAAGGGCCUUCCUGCUGGGUCAUGGCAUGGCAGAGAACAUCACACAAGAGCCAAAGGCAUCCGUAAGACAGAGACAAACUGGAUUUUUAUGAUAGAUCUAUUCUUGGGAUAACCCAUUAACCCAAUAAUCUAUGAAUGGACUAAGUCAUUCAUGAAUGUGUUUUUAGGAAAUACACAAUAAAGUGUUAAGGGUAAAAUGAUAUGACAGCCACAAUUUAUUUUCAUGCAAUGAAAUAUGUCCUCAAACCAGUAGUGCUCAAUAAUGUUGCAAUCGUUGCUGAAGUGUAUUAGUAUGUAGUUAGGCCUAUCAUGGUUGGGUCUAUACUGAAUGUGUACAGACAUUUAUUUUUUUUCUUAUAAGUAUUUCCUAAACAAUGUAGUAUAAGAACUACUCACAUGGCAUUUAUGCUAUAAAUGAUUUAAGGUAUAUGGGAAGAUGUAUGUAGUUUAUAUACAAAUACUAUACCGUUUUAUAUAAGGAACUUGAGCAUCCUCAAGUUUUGGUACAUGCAGAGGGUCCUUUAACCAGUCCUUCUGUGAUACAGAAGGAUGACUAUAAUAAUAUUAAAAAUGAAA